rnacentral:rRNA from 1 species
CCUACGGGUGACAGCAGUGAGGAAUAUUGGACAAUGGACGAGAGUCUGAACCAGCCAAGUAGCGUGAAGGCUGACUGCCCUAUGGGUUGUAAACUUCUUUUAUAAAGGAAUAAAACGUGGCACGUGUGCCUUUUUGCAUGGACUUUAUGAAUAAGGAUCGGCUCACUCCGUGCCAGCCGCCGCGGUAAUACGGAGGAGCCGAGCGUUGUCCGGAUUUAUUGGGUUUAAAGGGAGCGUAGAUGGGUUGUUAAGUCAGUUGUGAAAGUUUGCGGCUCAACCGUAAAAGUGCAAUUGAUACUGGCAGUCUUGAGUACAGUUGAGGUAGGCGGAAUUCGUGGUGUAGCGGUGAAAUGCUUAGAUAUCACGAAGAACCCCGAUUGCGAAGGCAGCUUACUAAACUGUGACUGACAUUGAUGCUCGAAAGUGUGGGUAUCAAACAGGAUUAGAUACCCGUGUAGUC